AACGAACGCUGGCGGCAUGCCUAACACAUGCAAGUCGAACGAGACCUUCGGGUCUAGUGGCGCACGGGUGCGUAACGCGUGGGAACCUGCCCUUAGGUUCGGAAUAACUCCCCGAAAGGGGUGCUAAUACCGGAUAAUGUCUUCGGACCAAAGAUUUAUCGCCUUUGGAUGGGCCCGCGUUGGAUUAGCUAGUUGGUAGGGUAAAAGCCUACCAAGGCGACGAUCCAUAGCUGGUCUGAGAGGAUGAUCAGCCACACUGGGACUGCGACACGGCCCAGACUCCUACGGGAGGCAGCAGUGGGGAAUAUUGGACAAUGGGCGAAAGCCUGAUCCAGCAAUGCCGCGUGAGUGAUGAAGGCCUUAGGGUUGUAAAGCUCUUUUAACCGGGAUGAUAAUGACAGUACCGGGAGAAUAAGCUCCGGCUAACUCCGUG
rnacentral:rRNA from 1 species